AAUGACAGCGGCAUGUCUACUACAUGCAGUCGAACGAUACCUUUUAGCUUGCUAGAAGGGAAAGUGGCGCACGGGUGCGUAACGCGUAUGCAACCUACCUUAAUCAGGGGGAUAGCCCGAAGAAAUUCGGAUUAACACCGCAUAAAAUCACAGUACAGCAUUGUACAAUGAUCAAAUAUUUAUAGGAUUAAGAUGGGCAUGCGUGACAUUAGUUAGUUGGCGGGGUAACGGCCCACCAAGACCACGAUGUCUAGGGGAUCUGAGAGGAUGACCCCCCACACUGGUACUGAGACACGGACCAGACUCCUACGGGAGGCAGCAGUAAGGAAUAUUGGUCAAUGGAGGCAACUCUGAACCAGCCAUGCCGCGUGCAGGAAGACAGCCCUCUGGGUCGUAAACUGCUUUUAUUCGGGAAUAAACCUACUUACGUGUAAGUAGCUGAAUGUACCGAAGGAAUAAGGAUCGGCUAACUCCGUGCCAGCAGCCGCGGUAAUACGGAGGAUCCAAGCGUUAUCCGGAUUUAUUGGGUUUAAAGGGUGCGUAGGCGGCUUUUUAAGUCAGGGGUGAAAGACGGUAGCUCAACUAUCGCAGUGCCCUUGAUACUGAAGAGCUUGAAUGAACUAGAGGUAGGCGGAAUGUGACAAGUAGCGGUGAAAUGCAUAGAUAUGUCACAGAACACCGAUUGCGAAGGCAGCUUACUAUGGUUUUAUUGACGCUGAGGCACGAAAGCGUGGGGAUCAAACAGGAUUAGAUACCCUGGUAGUCCACGCCCUAAACGAUGAAUACUCGCUGUUAGCGAUACACAGUUAGCGGGCUAAGCGAAAGCGUUAAGUAUUCCACCUGGGGAGGUACGGUCGCAAGAUUGAAACUCAAAGGAAUUGACGGGGGCCGCGCACAAGCGGAGGAGCAUGUGGUUUAAUUUCGAUGAUACACGAGGGACCCUUACCCGGGCUUUGAGAGUUAGUGGAUCAUUUAGAGAUAGAUGAGUCCGCAGGACACGAGACUAGUGCUGCAUGGCUGUCGUCAGCUCGUGCCUUGAGGUGUGGAGUGAAGUGCCGUCAACGAGCGCAACGCCUAUCUUCAGUGGCAUGCACGGUGACUGGUGGUACUGUGAACGGAAACUGCCUGUGCAACGCGGAGAGCAGCAUGGACGACGUGCCAGUCACUCAUUGCCGUACGUGCGGGCCUGACACCCGUGCUCAUGAUGUACCAGUGCGACAGCUGCACCCGAUCGAGUCUCAAGACCCGAUGUCAACU
rnacentral:rRNA from 1 species